CUGGGGGGGACUGGGAGGGACUGGGAUGGGACUGGGAGGCCCUGGGGAGGGAGCUGAGGGCACUGGGAGGCACUGGGAAGGGACUGGGAGGAUCUGGGGUGGGGGGCUGUGGGCACUGGGAAGGGAGUGGGAGGCACUGGGAGGGACUGGGAUGGGACUGGGAGGCACUGGGAGGGACUGGGAAGGGAGCUGAGGGCACUGGGAGGCACUGGGAAGGGACUGGGAGGGACUGGGAGGCUGUGGGGAGGGAGCUGAGGGCACUGGGGAGGGAGCUGGAGGCACUGGGAUGGGACUGGGUGGCACUGGGAUAAACUGGGAGGCAGUAGGAUGGACUGGGAGGCUUUCAGGAAGGGGCUGGAGGGACUGGGGGGCACUGGGAAGGGACUGGGAGGCACUGGAGAGCAUUGGGAGGCACUGGGAUGGGACUGGGAGGCACUGGGGAGGGGGCUGGGGGCACUGGGAGGCACUGGGAAGGACUGGGGAGGGAGCUGGGGGCACUGGGAUGGGACUGGGAGGCACUAGGAGGCACUGGGAAGGGACUGGGAGGCACUGGGAAGGGACUGGGAGGCACUAGGAGGGACUGGGAAGGACUGGGACGGACUGGAAGGCACUGGGAGGAACUGGGAAGGACCGGUAGGUUCUGGGGGAAUUGGGAUGGACUGGGAUGAACUGGGAGGCACUGGGAUGGACUGGAAAGGACUGGGAUGGACUGGUAGGCACUGGAAUGGACUGGGAUGGACUGGGAAGGACUGGGAGCCUCUGGGGGAACUGGGAUGCACUGGGAUGGACUGGGAAGAACUGGUAGGCACUGGGAUGGACUGGGAUGCACUGGGAGGCACUGGGAUGGACUGGGAAGGACUGGGAGGCACUGGGAUGAUCUGGGGAGGAGUUGGGGGAACUGGGAUGGACUGGGAGGCACUGGGAUAGACUGGGAGGGACUGGUAACCACUGGGGAGGCACUGGGGGAACUGGGAUGCACUGGGAGGGACUGGGAGGCACUGGGAGGGACUGGGGAGGCUCUGGGGGAACUGGGAUGCACUGGGAUGGACUGGGAUGCACUGGGAAGGCACUGGGAAGGACCGGGAGCUGGUGGAGUGUUUCCGGGAGAUCGAGCAGGACCCGGCCUGUCGCGCCGUCGUCGUCUCGGGGGCCGGCAAGACCUUCACGGCGGGUGGGGGCUCUUAAUUAACCCCCCCUAAUUAAUUAACACCCCCUAAUUAACCCCCCCCAAUUAAUUAACCCCC
rnacentral:lncRNA from 1 species